rnacentral:rRNA from 1 species
UACGAAGGGUGCAAACGUUGCUCGGAAUCAUUGGGCGUAAAGCGCACGUAGGCGGCUUGCCAAGUCGGACGUGAAAUCCCUCAGCUCAACUGAGGACGUGCAUCCGAAACUGGCGAGCUUGAGUGCUGAAGAGGAUCGCGGAAUUCCCGGUGUAGAGGUGAAAUUCGUAGAUAUCGGGAGGAACGCCGGUGGCGAAAGCGGCGUGCUGGACCUCUUCUGACGCUGAGGCGCGAAAGCUAGGGGAGCAAACGGGG